CCUACGGGUGGCAGCAGUGAUGAAUAUUGGUCAAUGGGCGAGAGCCUGAACCAGCCAAGUCGCGUGAGGGAGUACUGCCCUAUGGGUUGUAAACCUCUUUUGUCGGGGAGCAAAAGCCGGACGUGGCCGGCUGUGAGAGUACCCGAAGAAAAGGCAUCGGCUAACUCUUUGCCAGCAGCCGCGGUAAUACGGGGGAUGCGAGCGUUAGCCGGGUGGAUUGGGGUUAAAGGGUGCGGAUGCGGAUUUUUAGUGCAGCGGUCAAAUCGUGGGGCUCACCCCCAUCCAGCCGUUGAAAAUGGGGAUCUUGAGUGUGCGAGAGGUGUGCGGAAUGCGUGGUGUAGCGGUGAAAUGCAUAGAUAUCACGCAGAACCCCGAUUGCGAAGGCAGCAUACCGGUGCACAACUGACGCUCAGGCACGAAAGCGUGGGUAUCGAACAGGAUUAGAUACCCUUGUAGUC
rnacentral:rRNA from 1 species